rnacentral:tRNA from 1 species
GGCGGGGGAGCCUAGACACUUGGAAUCAUAAUCCUCGUGUCGGGGGUUCGAGUCCCUCUCCCGCUACCA